CUUUUCUCUCUCGCGACGAGAUUGCCUCUGGCGAUUUUGCAAAACCCUAACUUCGAAUCACCACAAAUCUGUUGAAAUCAAUCGAGUCAAUAUCAAUUCUCUUUUUUUUGUUGUUGACUUUCUGGAGUUUUUUUCCCCAAUAGCAAUCGACUGUCUCACCUUUGGCCAAGUUUAAGUUGGUAUUCUUAGGUGAUCAAUCUGUCGGAAAAACCAGCAUCAUCACUCGUUUCAUGUAUGACAAAUUCGACACCAUUUACCAGUUUUGUUCGAUAAUAUUUACCCGUGGUUAGAGACAAUGAAUGUGUUAUGGUUUAGGAGUUCUUUGGAAGAGUGUUUCGUUUGCUCUGUGAUCUUAGUUCUCCUUGGCUCACGUGGCACAGCAUAGAGAUAAGAACGUUUGAGCCUUUGAGGUGCUUCUUAGAACAUAUGGAGUGAAGGAAGUGAAAAUGGAUACUAGCAUGGUUGGUGAAAGCCACAAGGAGGACAAUGAAGGAAUGAGACCUUGCAAGAGAAAACACCGUUCAAACAAAAACGAAACAGUUUCACAGGACAACUCUUCUAAUGCUACUUCAGUCGUCAUGGCUCGGCCUUGUAGCGAGGCAAGACGUCACACCGGUUACUUGACGUUUGCAAGACUCUAAUGUCUAGCUUAGUCCAAAUUGUCCAACUAAAUUACCAAUGGAUAUUUAAUCUUAAGUUAUCAUGUAUUAGAUAUUUCAUGAUUUUAUCUUAUUUGGUUUUCUUUA